UUUAUUUGGAAAAAAAAAUCAAGAAUCCAGGGAUAGAUAAACCACCGAAUUCUUGGGAGAAUCUUCAGGCUUCAGUUCUCUCUCCCCGAUCAUGGCUUCCACUGUUUCAGUUCAGUCCCACUUCAUCCCCAGAUUCUUACAUCCAAAUCGAUCGAAGAGCCCUAAACGUCGUACCUUCUCCUCGUGUUUCAACUCAAGUCCUGACCCCUUUUGCCUCCUUCUCAAGGAACCCACUUGCCUGAUUUCCGAGCCGCGCUCAAUCACUAAGCAACAUCAAAGAUUCCGGACCCGAGUUCGGACGAGAAGGGAGUUCGCUGAUGGUGGAGAAGAACCGGGCUCGCUUGCUUCUGAUGCAUCAGAGGCCUUUUCAUGGUCUUCUGUGAUAAUUCCGUUUUUAUUCCCGGCAUUGGGGGGACUAUUGUUCGGGUAUGAUAUUGGUGCCACCUCUGGUGCCACCAUCUCUCUGCAGUCACCCGAGCUUAGUGGUACUGCCUGGUUUAACCUUUCACCUGUUCAGCUGGGACUUGUGGUUAGUGGAUCCUUAUACGGUGCCCUUUUUGGGUCGCUUCUUGUCUAUGGCAUUGCUGAUUUCCUUGGGAGAAGGCGAGAACUUAUCAUAGCUGCUGUUCUCUAUCUGCUUGGUUCCCUUGUCACUGCCUGUGCCCCUGAUCUUGGUAUUCUUUUAUUCGGAAGGCUUCUUUAUGGCUUGGGCAUUGGCAUGGCAAUGCAUGGUGCUCCUCUCUAUAUAGCUGAGACUUGUCCAUCUCAGAUCCGUGGAACUCUAAUAUCACUAAAGGAGCUGUUUAUCGUGUUAGGAAUUCUGUUGGGUUACUUUGUUGGAAGCUUUACGAUUGAUGUAGUUGGAGGGUGGCGAUACAUGUAUGGAGUUGGUUCUCCUGUUGCUUUGCUGAUGGGGCUAGGCAUGUGGAGCCUCCCUCCAUCUCCACGCUGGUUACUUCUUAGGGCAGUCCAGGGCAAAGGCUCUUUACAAGAAUACAAAGACAGGGCCAUGCUUGCCCUCAGCAAACUGCGUGGUAGGCCUCCGGGUGAUAAAAUGUCCGAAAAACAAAUAAACGAUGCCCUUUUGUCUGUGAAAUCUGCCUACGAAGAUGAACAAUCCGGAGGAAACUUCCUGGAAGUGUUUCAAGGGCCUAAUUUGAAAGCUUUGAUAAUUGGUGGAGGUUUAGUCCUUUUCCAGCAGAUAACUGGACAACCAAGCGUUCUUUAUUACGCCGGUUCCAUUCUUCAGAGUGCUGGAUUUUCUGCGGCUGCUGAUGCAACCCGAGUUUCUGUCAUUGUUGGUCUCUUCAAGUUACUGAUGACAUGGAUAGCUGUUGCGAAAGUUGAUGAUAUUGGAAGACGACCUUUACUGAUUGGAGGUGUCAGUGGCAUUGCUCUGUCUUUAUUUCUACUUUCAGCAUAUUACAAGUUUCUCGGAGGCUUUCCUCUUGUCGCAGUUGCCGCACUUCUUCUCUAUGUUGGUUGCUACCAGAUUUCUUUUGGACCCAUCAGCUGGUUAAUGGUAUCUGAGAUUUUUCCACUCCGUACAAGAGGGAAAGGUAUUAGCUUGGCAGUUCUCACUAACUUCGGCUCGAAUGCUGCUGUGACCUUUGCAUUCUCACCCUUGAAGGAAUUGCUUGGCGCAGAGAACCUUUUCCUUCUCUUUGGAGCCGUAGCGCUGAUUAUGGUACCUAAACUUCUACUAGCCAGACGAAAACAUGGGCUUGAGGAGUUGAUAGCUGAUACCAUCAGGACAAGCAACGACAAGUUUAGCUCACAUCAGCCUAUCUACUGUUUUCCCAGUUUAUUUCACUGAAAUGAUAAGUAUGCAUUCCGUAAAUAUGCUUCAAGGAAUUGUGACGAGAUUGCUGCAUGCUCUGGUGUAGCCAUAGUCAGUUUCGCUCUUGCUGUUUUCAAAAUAAUGGGCAAGUACCCUAAAAUAACUUCACAUUCAAAACAUAUGUCUUAUAAAAGACAUAUUAGCUGAAGAGGAACUGGUUGCUGGCAUUCUCGGCCGGUGUUUCACUGCUUAAAGUGGAUAUACCAAUUCCAGCAAUAUCGAAAGAUAUGUCUAGAAAAAUCCACAUUCUGUUUCAGGCGUUAUUUGACCUUUACAAGGUUAAUUUUCGGGGAGACUCUGUGAACACAACAUAUGUCUAGCUUUGAAACCAGCUCGGCCUCCUCAGCUACAAAGUUUCCUUCUAGUUUACUGUCAACAGUAUCAAAUUUGCUUCAUGGCAACUAGGUUGCUGUUGGAUGAAGACGCAGAGCUCCAAACACUUGCUUAUACACACACAACAAUCUGGGGUGCUGGCUUCAGCGACCACCAAAUAAAACGGUAUUGUAUUAUCUGCCUCAUGGUAGGUCUAUUUUCUGGGGUAUUCUGUGAACAAAGCAGGCCUAGCUUCAAAACCAUCUCAACUUCCUCAGGUGGCCUUUCUGGGUCUACUGGCCUCCUUCCACAAACCACCUCAAGCAUGAAAGCUCCAAAAGCAUAGACAUCAGUCCAAGUAGUGGCU